rnacentral:tRNA from 1 species
GGCUCCGUAGCUCAGCCUGGUUAGAGCACCAGACUCUUAGAUUUAAUUAUCAAUGGAGAUAUCUGGGUGUCGCGGGUUCAACUCCCGUCGGGGUCA